rnacentral:tRNA from 1 species
GCGCUUAUGGCUCAAUUGGAUAGAGCAUCGGCCUUCUAAGCCGAUGGUUGCAGGUUCGAGUCCUGCUAAGCGCG